UUGCUUUUGGCCUGUCUCAGUAUAUUACGCUGAGUAAAACUGCAGUCACUUGCUUCGUUGUCAACCUUUGCAAAACUCUGCUGGGAGUGCCAUUUAAAAGCAAAUAAAGCUGUUUGCUGACCGAUUGAAGCAGGGAAAGCGCCAUCUUCCGUACAUAAUCCAAACAAGAUUUAGGAGCCUGGCACAAUGGGGCCCCUGACCUGGCUGAGGUCUCUGGGAUAUAAAUGUUAAAUAACAUUGAUGAUGAUAAUAAUCAGCUGAGGGUCUCGGCGGACCACUUAAUGAUCUUUCCAAAUGUUGUUUGUACCGUUAGCUAACUAUUGUAAAGCGCUUU